AGUGACUAAGUUCAGGGCAGGGUACUGGACGGUGGUCAGCUAGUAACAGUGACUAAGUUCAGGGCAGGGUACUGGGCGGUGGUCAGCUAGUAACAGUGUCUAAGUUCAGGGCAGGGUACUGGGCGGUGGUCAGCUAGUAACAGUGUCUAAGUUCAGGGCAGGGUACUGGGCGGUGGUCAGCUAGUAACAGUGACUAAGGUUCAGGGCAGGGUACUGGACGGUGGUCAGCUAGUAACAGUGACUAAGUUCAGGGCAGGGUACUGGACGGUGGUCAGCUAGUAACAGUGUCUAAGUUCAGGGCAGGGUACUGGGCGGUGGUCAGCUAGUAACAGUGACUAAGUUCAGGGCAGGGUACUGGGCGGUGGUCAGCUAGUAACAGUGUCUAAGUUCAGGGCAGGGUACUGGGCAGUGGUCAGCUAGUAACAGUGUCUAAGUUCAG